CCCCCGGUAUCUAUCCUCCCAGAACCCUCCUCUACACCCCCACUCUCCAGGUCUGCCCCCCACAGGCUCCACCAUGGCUUUCCUUUUUAGGGUGGAACCAAAUUUCCGUGGUUUCAGAAAAGCUCUCCACCCCCCUUGGCAAUACUCCAGGGUCUCAGCUCCAACGGUUGAAAAAUAAACAGCCUCUCAGAGCCAGGGCCUGGCCUGGCGCAGGGGCUGAGAGGGGCCUCCGGCCACCCCGCUGCUCCACGCUUCAGCCACCUCUCUCGGUUUGUCUGAGGCUCGACUCAAAUCCCCAGUUGAUUUCCGGUUAGCGGGAUCUUAUCCCAGCCCCCUAAGGGAAAGUUCCAGGACGGAACCUUUUCCAAGUUAGCCUCAAGACAGGUGAAUAUGCUGCUGCCUUCAUGAGGUGUGCCUCAUGCUCAGGAGUACAUGCACGAGAGGAAAGGGGGGGCUCACUCUGCCAGUAGAUGAAGAAAGUGGAAAGGAAUUCAGCAGCAGUAGGGCUCCUGGCUUCAGCCAAGCCCCCCGGGUGGCAACAGAGAGAGCAGCGUGCUCCCCUGCCCAGGGUCAGCACUGCACAUGGCCCCAGAUGACGGUGUGCAGCUUCCAGAACCAUCUACCAUCUACUCUCCUGGCUGCCACUCUGCCUGGUGUCUGAUUUCAACUCCUGCGACUGCCGCACCCACCCAUACCAUCUCAUGCUGAAGAUGAAACUGAGGGUCCGUCGCAGGGAGGAGCCGGCCCAGGUCCCUGAGCUCCGUUCCAGCUGGCUACAGCUGCAGAGAGAGAAGGGAGAGGUGAAGACACUCACAGAGAUGGCGGCGACGGUGCCAUGACCAGGGGAGAGAGAGUGGACAUACGAGCGAAAAGACUGAGAGAAAAGGCCUUUGAAGGGCUCCGAAUCCCCCAACUCACCUUUGGCUGAGGUCCGCAGCAAAGAACUGGGAUAAAUUUCCUGCCAACACAAAAG